CGUGGAGACAGGUGGUGCAUGGCUGUCGUCAGCUCGUGUCGUGAGAUGUUGAGUUAAGUCCCGCAACGAGCGCAACCCUCACCCCUAGUUGCCACCGGGUUAAGCCGAGCACUCAAGGGGAACUGCCAGCGUCAAGCUGGAGGAAGGCGGGGAUGACGUCAAGUCAUCAUGCCCCUUACGCCCUGGGCUACACACGUGCUACAAUGGCCAGUACGAAGGGACGCGAGACUGCGAAGUGGAGCUAAUCCCAAAAAGCUGGUCUAAGUUCAGAUUGCAGUCUGCAACUCGACUGUAUGAAGGAGGAAUCGCUAGUAAUCGCGUAUCAGCCCGGCGCGGUGAAUACGUUCCCGGGCCUUGUACACACCGCCCGUCACACCACGAAAGCUGUCUGUACUCGAAGUCGCUGAG
rnacentral:rRNA from 1 species